rnacentral:rRNA from 1 species
AGAAUCAACGCUGGCGGCGUGCCUCAGACAUGCAAGUCGAACGCGAAAGUCCCCUUCGGGGGCAAGUAGAGUGGCGCACGGGUGAGUAACACGUAGGUAAUCUACCUUCGGGUGGGGAAUAACAACCGGAAACGGUUGCUAAUACCGCAUAAUGCAGCGGCACCUAAUGGUGACAGUUGUUAAAGCGGGGGAUCGAAAGAUCUCGCGCCUGAAGAGGAGCCUGCGGCGGAUUAGCUAGUUGGUAGGGUAACGGCCUACCAAGGCGACGAUCCGUAGCCGGCCUGAGACGGGCGGUCGGCCACGACGUGACACGUGACAUACGGGUCAGGACUCCUACGGGAGGCAGCCAGUCGGGAAUUUUGGGCAAGUGGGCGAAAGCCUGGACCCAGCAACGCCGCGUGAAGGAUGAAAUCCCUCGGGAUGUAAACUUCGACGAAGAACGGAAGAACUAAGUAGGGAUAA